CGGGUGGCGCGGAGCAGAGAAACAACGAGUUUCUGUCUAGAUCGUGGGGGACCCAAGGCCGGGGUUGCGUCCGAGGUCGGGGAUGGAGAGGACGCGACCCCCGCGGCAGUCGAGAUGGCCUUUUUAAAAUUCUAUAUUUGAGAAGGAGUCUCGCGCUGUCGCCCAGGCUGGAGCGCAAUGGCGCGAAAUCGGCUCACUGCAGCCUCGACGUCCAGGACCCUAGCGAUCCUCCCGCCUCAGCCUCUCGAGAAGCAGCACAAAACAGAGUAAGACAGUGACAAAGAUACCUGUACAGAGGAGGAAGCUUCAAAAGAAGCCAUUCAUGUAUGGGGUGGGACUGCAGAAGGACCACAGUAGACAAUCCCUCACCAAUAAGGAAGUGUGUUAAUCAGGAGUGGCCAGAAGGCUCCUCUCCAGGCCUCACAGGGGGAAACACUGGUCUAAUGAGAGACCUGGGUCCUGCCCAUCAGGACCGAAGCAGCACGUGCGAGGACCUUGCGGGCCAAGAGACAACAGCGAUUACAAACCCCAGCCCCAGCCUUGCAGCUGACCUUGCAGGUGACACCCUGCCUGGGUGUCUCGGUGCAGCUGCACAUCAGGGGCCUCUGCUGGACAGGAGCUCUGAGUCCACACUCAGCCCCCAGGUGCUGGAGCUGGAGCGCUACCACGAGAGGGGAUGCUGCCGUGGCUGCGCCAGCUUCAGCCCUUUCCCUGCACUGAGAUGUCCCAGGGAGCAGCUGGGUGCUCACAGUUCCCGUUGGGCCAUCAGAGGAAGAUCAAAGAUCAACCCUCCCCCAUGGGCUCCUGCCUGCCUGCCAGGUGGGCUUCCUGCCUGUCUCCCAGCCCCCAAGAGCUCCACGGACUCUGCCGGUAGCUGCUUUAAAGGAGGGAGGGAGUUUUCCGAUCCUCUGGACAUCCCUGGGGCUGGAGCUAUGGGCUGAGCCAUGGGAGAGCCAGCCCAGCUCCCUGGGGGUUGGGGCUGUGUCCCUCUGUCCCUUAGUAAAAAUACAGCAACUCCCAACUCGGA
rnacentral:lncRNA from 1 species